rnacentral:rRNA from 1 species
GAUGAGCGCUGGCGGCGUGCCUAAUACAUGCAAGUCGAGCGAACGGACGAGAAGCUUGCUUCUCUGAUGUUAGCGGCGGACGGGUGAGUAACACGUGGAUAACCUACCUAUAAGACUGGGAUAACUUCGGGAAACCGGAGCUAAUACCGGAUAAUAUUUUGAACCGCAUGGUUCAAAAGUGAAAGACGGUCUUGCUGUCACUUAUAGAUGGAUCCGCGCUGCAUUAGCUAGUUGGUAAGGUAACGGCUUACCAAGGCAACGAUGCAUAGCCGACCUGAGAGGGUGAUCGGCCACACUGGAACUGAGACACGGUCCAGACUCCUACGGGAGGCAGCAGUAGGGAAUCUUCCGCAAUGGGCGAAAGCCUGACGGAGCAACGCCGCGUGAGUGAUGAAGGUCUUCGGAUCGUAAAACUCUGUUAUUAGGGAAGAACAUAUGUGUAAGUAACUGUGCACAUCUUGACGGUACCUAAUCAGAAAGCCACGGCUAACUACGUGCCAGCAGCCGCGGUAAUACGUAGGUGGCAAGCGUUAUCCGGAAUUAUUGGGCGUAAAGCGCGCGUAGGCGGUUUUUUAAGUCUGAUGUGAAAGCCCACGGCUCAACCGUGGAGGGUCAUUGGAAACUGGAAAACUUGAGUGCAGAAGAGGAAAGUGGAAUUCCAUGUGUAGCGGUGAAAUGCGCAGAGAUAUGGAGGAACACCAGUGGCGAAGGCGACUUUCUGGUCUGUAACUGACGCUGAUGUGCGAAAGCGUGGGGAUCAAACAGGAUUAGAUACCCUGGUAGUCCACGCCGUAAACGAUGAGUGCUAAGUGUUAGGGGGUUUCCGCCCCUUAGUGCUGCAGCUAACGCAUUAAGCACUCCGCCUGGGGAGUACGACCGCAAGGUUGAAACUCAAAGGAAUUGACGGGGACCCGCACAAGCGGUGGAGCAUGUGGUUUAAUUCGAAGCAACGCGAAGAACCUUACCAAAUCUUGACAUCCUUUGACAACUCUAGAGAUAGAGCCUUCCCCUUCGGGGGACAAAGUGACAGGUGGUGCAUGGUUGUCGUCAGCUCGUGUCGUGAGAUGUUGGGUUAAGUCCCGCAACGAGCGCAACCCUUAAGCUUAGUUGCCAUCAUUAAGUUGGGCACUCUAAGUUGACUGCCGGUGACAAACCGGAGGAAGGUGGGGAUGACGUCAAAUCAUCAUGCCCCUUAUGAUUUGGGCUACACACGUGCUACAAUGGACAAUACAAAGGGCAGCGAAACCGCGAGGUCAAGCAAAUCCCAUAAAGUUGUUCUCAGUUCGGAUUGUAGUCUGCAACUCGACUACAUGAAGCUGGAAUCGCUAGUAAUCGUAGAUCAGCAUGCUACGGUGAAUACGUUCCCGGGUCU